rnacentral:lncRNA from 1 species
AAGAUUGAAAAUCAUAUUUUUGUUGAUGAGUAUAUUUUUUUUCUUAUUUGUUAUAGGCCAAUUUGACCCACUUACAUUACACCAAACUCAAACAAUAACCCUUACCCAAAACCCAUUACAAUUAAACCAAUCCAUUAAACCCACUAAAAAACCCAAAUACCCAACAGCCCAAUUACACCCAAACCUUAAACCAAAUCCAAAAAGCUAUCACAAACCCUAACCUCUCCCCACUUGCACCUAGCCCCAUACCGUCUGCCUCUCCAUGUCAGCCACCAUACCUCUGCCACCACCACACCCACCUGCUCCACCUGCAAAACAAGAGGGACACGCAACAGUAACAAAGAUAGAAUAAACAGUUUGGUACAAAGGCUAUAUAAGCCGAUUUGAAGCUUUAUAGAAGGGGACUUUUUCGAUUUUUUACCAUCAAUAGAAAGAAUAGAUUAAAAACAUAUAUGUAAGCAGUGAUUCAAGAGAUCAAAGACAGAAAGAUAAUCAAAAAUCAGAGAAACAAAAAAAAAAUCAAAACAAAAGGAGGUGAUUGUUUUUUUUUUCAUUUGCGAAUCGAUUUUCUUUCUUUUUUUUCUUUUUUUCUUUUCCUUUUUUCUUUCCUUUUCCUAUUCGAAAACAUAUAUAAAUAUAUAUAAUAAAGAAGAAAAAAAAAAGAAAUUUUACCUCUCACGGUGGCCGGCGCCGGCACCGGUGUCGGGCCGACGAUUGGCCUGUGACCGGCCCCCUGGCCAGCAGUCCCCCUCUCUCCUUUCCUCUCUUCCUCCUCCCUCCUCUCUCUUCCUCUCCUUUCUUCUCUUUUU